AUUGAACGCUGGCGGCGUGCCUAACACAUGCAAGUCGAGCGGCAGCGCGGGAGCAAUCCUGGCGGCGAGCGGCGGACGGGCGAGUAAUGCUUGGGAAUCUGCCUGUUAGUGGGGGGACAACCCGGGGAAACUCGGGCUAAUACCGCAUACGCACUACGGUGGAAAGCCGGGGACCGCAAGGCCUGGCGCUAACAGAUGAGCCCAAGUCGGAUUAGCUAGUUGGUAGGGUAACGGCCACCAGGCGACGAUCCGUAACUGGUCUGAGAGGACGACCAGUCACACCGGAACUGAGACACGGUCCGGACUCCUACGGGAGGCAGCAGUGGGGAAUAUUGGACAAUGGGGGAAACCCUGAUCCAGCGACGCCGCGUGGGUGAAGAAGGCCUGCGGGUUGUAAAGCACUUUCAGU
rnacentral:rRNA from 1 species